GGGGAUGUCCGGUUUCGACAGGGACGUACGUGCGAGAAUUGCAAGCCGAGGCGCCCGAGGCCUCGUAAAAACGGGCAACGCCAUAACUGGCAACGAUUCUCUCGCUCUGGCUGCCUAAGUAGCGGCCACGUCCACGCGAUCCUCACCCCGGCGGGAUCGCAGUUGGGCGUCACUUAGUCGGGGUGCGACGUCGCCGACCGCGGGCUGAGCGGCGUCAAAGACCAGCCGGCUAGCCGAAGCGGGACGCCGUCGAGGGCGGCCCCCGAGGCGAAACCCAAAACCUCGACUACGCUUGUAGGAUAUUCUCGGCGGAAGUUUCUGGACGGGGGUUCGACUCCCCCCAUCUCCACCA
rnacentral:tmRNA from 1 species